rnacentral:rRNA from 1 species
UACAGAGGGGGCAAGCGUUGUUCGGAAUUACUGGGCGUAAAGGGCGCGUAGGCGGCCUGUUAAGUCGGACGUGAAAUCCCUCGGCUCAACCGGGGAACUGCGUCCGAAACUGGCGGGCUUGAAUUCGGGAGAGGGAUGUGGAAUUCCAGGUGUAGCGGUGAAAUGCGUAGAUAUCUGGAGGAACGCCGGUGGCGAAGGCGGCAUCCUGGACCGACAUUGACGCUGAGGCGCGAAAGCCAGGGGAGCAAACGGG